rnacentral:sRNA from 12 species
UCCUGUCUCGCGAAAAGUAGCCCUUGCGGCUGCCUGCCCACCCUACGAGGGAAUGGGAUAGCGAGGCGGGUUAUU